AUUGAACGCUGGCGGCAGGCCUAACACAUGCAAGUCGAGCGGGGUUUUCGGACCUAGCGGCGGACGGGUGAGUAAUGCGUAGGAAGCUACCCGAUAGAGGGGGAUACCAGUUGGAAACGACUGUUAAUACCGCAUAAUGUCUACGGACCAAAGUGUGGGACCUUCGGGCCACAUGCUAUCGGAUGCGCCUACGUGGGAUUAGCUAGUUGGUGAGGUAAUGGCUCACCAAGGCGACGAUCCCUAGCUGGUUUGAGAGGAUGAUCAGCCACACUGGAACGGAGACACGGUCCAGACUCCUACGGGAGGCAGCAGUGGGGAAUAUUGGACAAUGGGCGCAAGCCUGAUCCGUCCAUGCCGCGUGUGUGAAGAAGGCCUUCGGGUUGUAAAGCACUUUCAGUAGGGAGGAAGCGUUGUGUGUUAAUAGUACACAGCGUUGACGUUACCUACAGAAGAAGCACCGGCUAACUCUGUGCCAGCAGCAGCCGCCGUA
rnacentral:rRNA from 1 species